rnacentral:rRNA from 1 species
GAUGAACGCUGGCGGCGUGCCUAAUACAUGCAAGUCGAGCGAACAGACGAGGAGCUUGCUCCUCUGACGUUAGCGGCGGACGGGUGAGUAACACGUGGAUAACCUACCUAUAAGACUGGGAUAACUUCGGGAAACCGGAGCUAAUACCGGAUAAUAUAUUGAACCGCAUGGUUCAAUAGUGAAAGACGGUUUUGCUGUCACUUAUAGAUGGAUCCGCGCCGCCUUAGCUAGUUGGUAAGGUAACGGCUUACCAAGGCAACGAUGCGUAGCCGACCUGAGAGGGUGAUCGGCCACACUGGAACUGAGACACGGUCCAGACUCCUACGGGAGGCAGCAGUAGGGAAUCCUCCGCAAUGGGCGAAAGCCUGACGGAGCAACGCCGCGUGAGUGAUGAAGGUCUUCGGAUCGUAAAACUCUGUUAUUAGGGAAGAACAAAUGUGUAAGUAACUAUGCACGUCUUGACGGUACCUAAUCAGAAAGCCACGGCUAACUACGUG